rnacentral:rRNA from 1 species
GACGAACGCUGGCGGCGUGCUUAACACAUGCAAGUCGAACGGAAAGGCCCUGCUUUUGUGGGGUGCUCGAGUGGCGAACGGGUGAGUAACACGUGAGUAACCUGCCCUUGACUUUGGGAUAACUUCAGGAAACUGGGGCUAAUACCGGAUAGGAGCUCCUGCUGCAUGGUGGGGGGUGGAAAGUUUCGGCGGUUGGGGAUGGACUCGCGGCUUAUCAGCUUGUUGGUGGGGUAGUGGCUUACCAAGGCUUUGACGGGUAGCCGGCCUGAGAGGGUGACCGGCCACAUUGGGCCUGAGAUACGGCCCAGACGCCUACGGGAGGCAGCAGUGGGGAAUAUUGCACAAUGGGCGGAAGCCUGAUGCAGCAACGCCGCGUGCGGGAUGACGGCCUUCGGGUUGUAAACCGCUUUCGCCUGUGACGAAGCGUGAGUGACGGUAAUGGGUAAAGAAGCACCGGCUAACUACGUG